CGGACGUGGAACGGAACCUCGUCCGUUGGAGGUAGGGAAUAACAGCUAGAAAUAGCUGCUAAUACCGCAUAAUGCAACUAAGUCGCAUGGCUUUGGUUGCCAAAGAUUUAUCGCUCUGAGAUGGCCUCGCGUCUGAUUAGAUAGUUGGCGGGGUAACGGCCCACCAAGUCGACGAUCAGUAGCCGGACUGAGAGGUUGGCCGGCCACAUUGGGACUGAGACACGGCCCAGACUCCUACGGGAGGCAGCAG
rnacentral:rRNA from 1 species